AGCUUCACCUCUUCACACACAGCGCCAAAAUGAAUAAACAGCUGUCUACCACCACGGCGGCGGCGCUUGUAGGUGGCACCAGGGACGCAGGAUGAACAUGCUGCAUUUCUCAAGAUUCACCAGCGUUUACUCAUGCUAAAGCUCAUAGGACUGUAGAUCUUAACAUCCCUAUGAGGGAGAGGACAAAGGAAACCACUCUGUCUAAGAAAAGCAGACACUAAGAUGCAGCACAGAAGAGUGAGUGGCCUGUGGGUCAUGCACCCUUCCUGGGGGCAGCCUACAUCCAGUGACAGAUCAAUGCAAGAAUAAAAGUUCCGUCCACUCAGUGCAUCAGAGAAGGGCUAUGCCAGUUCCAGAGUCCCCUGGGAUCAGCUGAAGCCUUUGUUGAGACCGGGCCACAGGUCCACUUCCUCCUCAGCUCAAUCCUGCUGCCUCUAUUCCUCUAUAGGUGUGGAGUCCAAGAGC
rnacentral:lncRNA from 1 species